rnacentral:rRNA from 1 species
GGGACAUGCCGGCAGCUACACAUGCAGUCGAGCGCCCUCUUCGGAGGGAGCGGCGGACGGGUUAGUAACGCGUGGGAACGUGCCCUUCUCUGCGGAAUAGCCACUGGAAACGGUGAGUAAUACCGCAUACGCCCUUCGGGGGAAAGAUUUAUCGGAGAAGGAUCGGCCCGCGUUAGAUUAGGUAGUUGGUGGGGUAAUGGCCUACCAAGCCUACGAUCUAUAGCUGGUUUGAGAGGAUGAUCAGCAACACUGGGACUGAGACACGGCCCAGACUCCUACGGGAGGCAGCAGUGGGGAAUCUUAGACAAUGGGCGCAAGCCUGAUCUAGCCAUGCCGCGUGAGUGAUGAAGGCCUUAGGGUCGUAAAGCUCUUUCGCUGGGGAAGAUAAUGACUGUACCCAGUAAAGAAACCCCGGCUAACUCCGUGCCAGCAGCCGCGGUAAU